rnacentral:rRNA from 1 species
GCAGUCGAGCGCGGGAAGCGAACAGAACUCUUCGGAGGGACGUUCGUGGAACGAGCGGCGGACGGGUGAGUAACACGUAGGCAACCUGCCUGUAAGACUGGGAUAACUCGCGGAAACGCGAGCUAAUACCGGAUAAUACUUAGCAUCACCUGAUGAUAAGUUAAAAGGCGGCUUUUGCUGUCACUUACAGAUGGGCCUGCGGCGCAUUAGCUAGUUGGUGGGGUAAGGGCUCACCAAGGCGACGAUGCGUAGCCGACCUGAGAGGGUGAUCGGCCACACUGGGACUGAGACACGGCCCAGACUCCUACGGGAGGCAGCAGUAGGGAAUCUUCCGCAAUGGACGAAAGUCUGACGGAGCAACGCCGCGUGAGUGAUGAAGGUUUUCGGAUCGUAAAACUCUGUUGUCGGGGAAGAACAAGUACGAUAGUAACUGAUCGUACCUUGACGGUACCCGACCAGAAAGCCACGGCUAACUACGUGCCAGCAGCCGCGGUAAUACGUAGGUGGCAAGCGUUGUCCGGAAUUAUUGGGCGUAAAGCGCUCGCAGGCGGUUCUUUUAGUCUGAUGUGAAAUCUUGCAGCUCAACUGCAAACGUGCAUUGGAAACUGGAGGACUUGAGUG